GCUCUAGCUCGAAAUUAGUAAGGGUGCAUUUCAUCUUUCUCUAUUUUAUAAUACUCUUACGUAUUGUGGCUUGAUCGAUAUUUUUUAAAUCCUUUGUUUUUGCCGUUUUCCUUUGUUUAAGACUCUUAAAACUGAAACAGUAGGGUGGAUGCCAGGUCAUUUAUUUUUUCCUAAAAAAGGUGAGUUUGUGCUGUAAGAAACUGCUAAAACAAUACCAAAGUCCUUGUUAUGAGGAAGCACAACUUGUCUAUAGUGUUCCCAGUACAUUAAAACCUUAAUAUAUCCAGUUGAAAAAAUGCUUUGCUUUAGUGUUGUUUUACCCAAUUGCUCCUUCCAUUUAAUAUCAUUUAAUUUGAUGUUAGAAAGACUAAAACGACUACCUAUCAUUUAAUUUGAUUUCUACCUAUUAUGUGUGUUUUAAAGGAUUAGAUAUUAUCAGUUAAUCCUAUGUAAUGGUCUUAUAUAAUUUGUUGUUGCUUUGUGCUUAUAUUUACUAUACAUCUGGCAAAAACUUAUUUAAUUGAAAGCCGUGGUUAUCCUUUCUUUAGUUGAAAGCCGUGGUUAUCCUUUCUUUAGUUGAAAGCCAUGCUCAUCCUUUCUUUAGUUGAAAGACGUUUCCUGUUAAAAUUCGCUUGUCUUUUUUUUUUUUUAAAAAAGUAUUCUUAUUUGUUCACCAUGUAAUUUUUCCUUGCUUUCUUUGUAUUCAUGUAGAUCUCUCUGCUUUGAUGUGUUCCCUUGGCGUGUUUUCUUUGUAUUCAUGUAGAUCUCUUUGCUUUGUGCUUAUAUUCACCAGAAAUGUUUGAGGAUGCAUUUGAGCCUCAGAGCCCUUGGAAGCUUAUGCCUAAUUUGACUGAUGAUUCUUCAUUAAUUAAUGUGGAAUUAUAUGAGUUUCUUCAGGCUUCCCUUCCUAAUAUCGUGAAAGGUUUCGAGGUGUUGAAAUCUGAAGUUUUGGUGAAUCAUUUAAAAAUGGAGUCUGAAAUUGCAGCUGAUGCAUUACUAGAUUAUGUUACAUUUCAAAUUUUGCCAGAAAACAGAUAUGGUGCAUGCAUAUGUAGUGAGGAGAAAGAGGAAAUGGUUGGGGAUGGUCCUCUUGAGCAGCUCUUGGAACAUGUACCCUACAUAAAGGAUCAAAUCGUUAAAGGAUCCUAUGAUAACUUCAAAUUAGAGUUACCCAAUCCCACUGGUGACAACGGAUGGUUCACAAAAGCCACGUUAACGAGGUUUCUUCAUGUGAUUGGUUCCCCAGAUGCACUUAAUAAGUUCAUUGCUGCCAGUAACGAGUUGUCCCAGCUGGAGGAAACGAGAAAAUGUUAUCUUUCAUUACAUACCUAGGGCGAUAGGAGCGCAUCAUCAGAUAACUCAAAAUAUACUCGGUUGGGAGAACUUGAAACGGGUGCUUGCGGAUGAUGUAAGAAUGUUUCAUCACUGCCUUCAACCGUUGUUAAUGGACCAGCUAAAGAGAAUCAAACUCCUAUUGAAGCCACACCACAUUCAUUAGAUCCGUGAACACUACCUUGGAGGGUAAGGGGUAACCCAUUACUUACGACUUCCACUUUCUCUAUUUCAUUCCUUCUCUAGCUUCCACCUUCACAUGAGUUUAUGAUUUCGUUUCUUUUAGGAAUUUUUGGAUCUGAAGUGUUGUAUUGAUUUAUGGCUAGAGUAAUUUGGUUUGACAGAAAGUUAGCAAUUAGAAAGUUGGUAAAUUCUCUUUCCUUUCCUCUAAUCGAUUUCUAGAGUUUUACUUUGUUAAUUUCCUUUGAUUUAUUUUUCAAACUCGCUUUUUUUUUUAUUAUUUUAAUUUUCUGUUUUGGAUUUUUUUUUCCCUUGGACAAGCUUGUUAUAUAAUGGGUUAUGUUAUGUGUC